AUGCCAGCUUUAAUUUGGUGCAAAAAGUCUACUACUACUAAUUGGUUGGCACGUUGUGCUUUAUGGCACAAUACAAUACACACUAAUUGCACCUCCACCUCCUCCUCGGCUGCAACGAGUCAUUCCUCCUUUUCCUCCUCCUCGUCGUCAGGUACAGGUCCCUUCUCGGCUGGAUACCUCAAGGUCCACGCCUGCAGGGACAUGGACAACAUGGAGGUCGUCGUGCUCGACCUCGACAGAAACAACAUGAAGAAGAAGAAGAAGAAGCUCCCCCGGGCGGCCUCCGCCGCUCCACGUUCACUGUUGUUGCCAAGAACGCCCCCGUCUCUGUCCGUGGUCAUAUCUCCGACGAAGAAGAAGCAUGGCAGCAGCAGCAACAACCGCCGUAUAGCUCCGGCGACGACAGCGGCAGCGAGGCGCGUGCGGCCGCUGCCCACUCGAGCGCCGCCUUCCAGAACAGUGGCAGGAGGCUCGGCGUCUUGCAAGAAUAAGAAGAGGCCUUCGUCGUCAUCUUCUUCCUCGUCGUGCCGAUCAGCAGGAGAUUCAGCCGGGAGGAGGAAGAGCGCCUGGGCAACGGCGGGCCACGCCGGCGGUGGGGCUGGCGAAUUGGUGGAUGACCUCAAUAACCCCCUCAUGUCUAUGGACUGCUUCAUCUUCCUCUGA
rnacentral:rRNA from 1 species